rnacentral:ncRNA from 1 species
UAUCUGGUUGAUCCUGCCAGUAGUCAUAUGCUUGUCUCAAAGAUUAAGCCAUGCAUGUCUAAGUACAAACCUUAAUACGGUGAAACCGCGAAUGGCUCAUUAAAUCAGCUAUGGUUCCUUAGAUCGUCUCAUCCUACUCGGAUAACUGUGGAAAAUCUAGAGCUAAUACGUGCUUACAAGCCCUGACCUCACGGGAGGGGCGCAUUUAUUAGAUCAAAACCAAUCGGGGCUUGCCCCGUCUGCUUGGUGACUCUGGAUAACUUUUGUGCUGAUCGCAUGGCCUCUGCGCUGGCGACGUAUCUUUCAAGUGUCUGCCCUAUCAACUUACGAUGGUAGGUGAUAUGCCUACCAUGGUUAUAACGGGUAACGGGGAAUCAGGGUUCGAUUCCGGAGAGGGAG